rnacentral:rRNA from 1 species
AGCAGCCGCGGUAAUUCCAGCUCCAAUAGCGUAUAUUAAAGUUGUUGCAGUUAAAAAGCUCGUAGUUGAAUUUCGAGAUCAAAUUGUUGGUCGUGCCUUGGUACGCACUGGCAUUAUUGGUUUCUCCCUUCUGAAGAACCAAGAUGUCACUAAUUUGGUGUCAUGGGGAAUCAGGACUGUUACUUUGAAAAAAUUAGAGUGUUUAAAGCAGGCUCACGCUUGAAUACAUUAGCAUGGAAUAACGAAAUAGGACGUUUGAUUCUAUUUUGUUGGUUUCUAGGAUCGACGUAAUGAUUAAUAGGGAUAGUUGGGGGCAUUAGUAUUCAAUUGUCAGAGGUGAAAUUCUUGGAUUUAUUGAAGACUAACUACUGCGAAAGCAUUUGCCAAGGAUGUUUUCAUUAAUCAAGACGAAAGUUAGGGGAUCGAAGACGAUCAGAUACCGUCGUAGUCUUAACCAUAAACUAUGCCGACUAGGGAUCGGAUGAUGUUAAUUUUUUAAUGACUCA